rnacentral:misc_RNA from 1 species
UACGUAGGUGGCAAGCGUUAUCCGGAAUGAUUGGGCGUAAAGGGUGCGCAGGCUGCGCGUCAAGUCUGAAGCGAAAGGUACGGGCUUAACCGGUACAGGCUUUGGAAACUGGCACGUUAGAGGACAGGAGAGGGCGGUGGAACUCCAUGUGUAGCGGUAAAAUGCGUAGAUAUAUGGAGGAACACCAGUGGCGAAGGCGGCUACCUGGUCUGUAACUGACGCUCAGGCACGAGAGCGUGGGUAUCGAACAGG